rnacentral:rRNA from 1 species
AGUGAACGCUGGCGGUAGGCCUAACACAUGCAAGUCGAACGGCAGCACAGUAGGAGCUUGCUCUUACGGGUGGCGAGUGGCGGACGGGUGGGGAAUACAUCGGAAUCUACUUUUUCGUGGGGGAUAACGUAGGGAAACUUACGCUAAUACCGCAUACGACCUACGGUUGAAAGCAGGGGAUCUUCGGACCUUGCGCGAUUGAAUGAGCCGAUGUCGGAUUAGCUAGUUGGCGGGGUAAAGGCCCACCAAGGCGACGAUCCGUAGCUGGUCUGAGAGGAUGAUCAGCCACACUGGAACUGAGACACGGUCCAGACUCCUACGGGAGGCAGCAGUGGGGAAUAUUGGACAAUGGGCGCAAGCAUGAUCCAGCCAUACCGCGUGGGUGAAGAAGGCCUUCGGGUUGUAAAGCCCUUUUGUUGGGAAAGAAAAGCAGCAGGUUAAUACCCCGCUGUUCUGACGGUACCCAAAGAAUAAGCACCGGCUAACUUCGUG